AUUAAAUAUACAGCCUUCACAGUACACUAAAGAUAAAAUAAUGGUAAAUUCAGAUUCCUACAGUAACACUGAACACCGCCAUAUCAAAUAUAUCUCACAUUUUCCUGCCAAACUCUUCUUCCUAAAAGGUACAUUUAUUAAUGUUUGUUUAGAAAUCUUUAUCACAAGCUGCUUGCAGUGUACAAAAUGUCAAGGUUAACACUGUUCAAGAAUAUUACAUUUCACACUUCCUAAACUUGAUCUGACAAUCAUAUUACAUUACUAAGCUUUUCAAUACCUGUCUUUCUUCCUUUAAAAAAACAAACUAAAAUGAACAUCUUGUGCUUUAUAAUGGAAGCAUUUUAAUUUGCUCAUUUAAGCUUUGAUGUGUAUGUCAGUAAGGUGAACGGUGGCAGAAGAAACAGGAUAAGCUUUCACAACCAUUGCCAUUUGUUUUCUGAGCAGCCGUAACUCAUCUUGUACUUGAGGGCUACACCUUGGCAACGUGAAAAGGCAAGCUUAAAAAACGCACAUAGCCCAAAGCUCGGUAUAUGUGCACUGCAGCAAAAAUUGUGGAAAUCACAGGCUACCACUAGGAUAAACCUAGUGCUUUCUUCUGCCAACCAGCUCCAUUAUGAAAAACACCAAAACCAAACAGCAACUACUACUCACACCACACUACUAUGUUCUAUGUUGUAGCACCAAGGAUUAGACAAAAAUCAAAAAAAAAAACCAACAAAAGCACAGCCCUACACCUUGUAAACAAACUAAACAUAAAACUCAAAAGCAACCUGUCCACUGCUUAUCAAACGCUUAGAUUGACUGGAAUCUCACAAAAGGAGGGGAAAUGGCAAUGUCCCACUGCUACGCAACAGCCAAGAGGCUAACAUCAUCACCCAAGAAGCAUCUUCAGAGUAAGGAUGGUCAGUACGCUUUAUCUUCAUUUGCUUAUCAGGAUGCAACUGUAAACUAUACCCAUUGAAGCUAUGUGGUAGUACCUCUUCCUCCCUCUCAUGAAUGAUAACAGUUUGAUGUGUGUCCAUUCUGCAAUCUUCAGCACUUGGGCAAGUGCAUUCAGGGACACCUGAGAACUUCCAAGCAAUAAUCAAGAAAUACAUUUCUAUUGCCAGUAGAUUUUAAAAGUAGAAGUCCACAAACGAAGACAG
rnacentral:lncRNA from 1 species